UCAAGUAUAGCUUAAUUAAAGCGCCUAACUGUUAAUUAGAAGAUAUUAAUAUUACUUGUA
rnacentral:tRNA from 1 species